ACAGCCACAUCAGCUGACAUGUCAUCAUCCAUCAACUGCCAGCAAACAAUUUCACUGUUUUGUCAUUUACACCAAAUAAUAAAGAUCCGACCCUGAGUCCUAUGCUUUAUUUGUUGAAAAUACAUUUAUUAAUGUCAAAAGCAAAAUUCAGGUUUUAUGUAUAUGUUGUCUCUUAAAACAAUGAAAAUCGGGGAAGCAUCAGCCGAAAUAACAAGAUUGGAUCUAAAUACGAGCAUCCAAGGACACGGAAGUCCCGGGGGCAGGCUAAUACCUCGUGCACGUUUCCCUCAAGCACGCUUUUAUGACUAUCUCCACCCGGAUGCAGAGGUAAAAAAGGUUUAUCCACGCUAUCUGUUGUACCCUUUCCAUAGUGGUCUCAUUGUAACCGCGCUGCAUUCUGGGGGCAUCCGUGUGAUACCUGCCGCCCAGUUCAGGUGAACGGGAGGCGGUGAAAGUCCUCCGCAUCCGACCCGCUCAGGUCGAAUUUCUGCGCCUUUUUUCUCUCCAAAGAAUGCGCCAGUGGGGGUUUCCUCACUCCACCGGUUCUAUGCCCGAGGUAUUGUUGCAUAUCGACUCUCCAGAGCUGAGCUGGACGGUGCCAUGAGGACUCAACCCGAAAGGAAAGCCUGUGAAGUGUACUGCAUCUCCGGGAAUGGACCGUCUGGUAGCUCUGCUGCGCAGAGAGAGGUGGAGUCGGGGACCUCUCGGUGUGGAAACCCCUCCAAGGAGCCUAAAGAUGAUGUGAAGCAGAAGGUGGCGGCUUGCGGCUCCUGGAGGAGGCGGACGUUGGCUGCUCUGGCGUUCGUUCCAUUUGCUGCGACAGUUGUACUGAGCAUCCACUUGAUAUGUGAGUACAAACAUGUUUGGCAAUUUCAUUCUUUUCCCAAACCUCUCCUCUUCCAAAUCCCUUUAGUUUGAUGUGUUCUGAUGGCCACAUCUACCACCUUUCCAGCCCCCCCUCCCUCCACAGUGUUCUUCCUUGGUGGCAGCGUGGAGUUCCCAAACCUGAGCUUCUCCUCGGAGCUUGCUGACUCCACCUCCCCUCAGUUCCGCCUGCAGGCUCAGGCUUUGAACGAUUAUGUAAGUGGAACCCCCCCCCUUACCCCCCCACCCCCGUCCCCCCUCGGUGAGACCCUCCAUCUUUAAGCCUGAUGUUUCCACUCUGACUUUGGAAGUGGUUUCUUCUGUGGUUCCCUUCCACGUUAUCCAUCCCCAAGCGUUUAUUUUUUAUUGUUCUUUUCUUUUGUCUUCUUUGUCCCGUCUCUCGCUGUUUUCCUCAGCUUCUCUGUCCAGCUCUGUCUGUACUGGUGUUAAAUGUAAAGCUGAAACAGGACACGGCACAGUGUGUGUGUGCAUGUGCGCGAGUUUCCCCGACCCCGUGGGACAGGCCCCUUUCAGAACCGAGGACAAGCCCGGCGUUUGUGAGUCCGGCGAGCCCCGGUCAGUGAGAGCGAGAGGAAGAGCAGACCUUCAAUAAAAACAUUGUCUGUCUAGCGUGGAGACAAUCCGCCGCUCUGUAUGCUGCGAGUGGAGGAGAGGUGCGGUUUGAUGCUGGUGUUGAAGGGGAGAGAGAGGGCAGUAGGGCAUGCUGGGAUGACAGGUUGUACAACUGAGAUGGUGGUGGAGCAAAGUGAACGCCAACGCUGCUGCACGUUCGCAUUAAAAGCCGGAAAACAGGAGGAAUCAAAGACAGCAGUCCCGCUCCUUUGAUCGGCUCUGAGGCCGAGCUGUCGGGCUUGUUAUGCGGUCACUAUAUCUGUCUGGCCACCUGUCCAUUAGAGGAAAGGUGAACUCAAGGCCGGGAGCCCAUACCACCCAGAGCCUCACCUCUACACAGCCAGCGGUCAGAGGCACAAUGGAGCUCUGUGCGACUCAGUCAACAUAUACGCACAGCGGCGUUUCAAACAUGCAUGUGAUCAUGCUGUAAUACUCUGAGCAUGUUGCUAAUUAUCCUUUGACAGUUUGCAGAACUCUAUGAGUCGUCACCGUGGAGCUGUUACCAUCUGCACUCAGGAAUUACGGCCUUCAGGUAGGCUCAGCCAAUUAUGGAUCAAUCUCAAUACCUGAUAAUUCCGCAUGCAACAACGCUAGCUGCAUGGCCACGAACGACAA
ensembl:lncRNA